rnacentral:rRNA from 1 species
UGGUGUAGCGGUGAAAUGCUUAGAUAUCACGAAGAACUCCGAUUGCGAAGGCAGCCUGCUAAGCUGCAACUGACAUUGAGGCUCGAAAGUGUGGGUAUCAAACAGGAUUAGAUACCCUGGUAGUCCACACGGUAAACGAUGAAUACUCGCUGUUUGCGAUAUACGGCAAGCGGCCAAGCGAAAGCGUUAAGUAUUCCACCUGGGGAGUACGCCGGCAACGGUGAAACUCAAAGGAAUUGACGGGGGCCCGCACAAGCGGAGGAACAUGUGGUUUAAUUCGAUGAUACGCGAGGAACCUUACCCGGGCUUAAAUUGCAAAUGAAUGUUCUGGAAACAGAUCAGCCGCAAGGCAUUUGUGAAGGUGCUGCAUGGUUGUCGUCAGCUCGUGCCGUGAGGUGUCGGCUUAAGUGCCAUAACGAGCGCAACCCUUGUUGUCAGUUACUAACAGGUGAUGCUGAGGACUCUGACAAGACUGCCAUCGUAAGAUGUGAGGAAGGUGGGGAUGACGUCAAAUCAGCACGGCCCUUACGUCCGGGGCUACACACGUGUUACAAUGGGGGGUACAGAAGGCAGCUACACGGCGACGUGAUGCUAAUCCCUAAAACCUCUCUCAGUUCGGAUUGGAGUCUGCAACCCGACUCCAUGAAGCUGGAUUCGCUAGUAAUCGCGCAUCAGCCACGGCGCGGUGAAUACGUUCCCGGGCCUUGUACACACCGCCCGUCAAGCCAUGGGAGCCGGGGGUACCUGAAGUGCGUAACCGCGAGGAUCGCCCUAGGGUAAAACUGGUGACUGGGGCUAAGUCGUAACAAGGUAGCCGUACCGGAAGGUGCGGCUG